GGCUACUAGUCUUUUGCGGGCAAACAGACAGCAACAAAUGCCAGACGGAAGCCCAAAAAGUGAAUCCCAAUCGGAGUCGGAGUUUGGGAUCUCGCGGGUGGCACUGAAAAAAGCAGCAAUGCAAUUUCAAGCUAUCCUUCAACUAUCCAUCAGGACCAGAGCGAAAUGAAAUUACAAAAUGUGUUGAAUGCUCGUAGCAUUCUUUUGUAGCAUUUUUGCAUGCCACCCACUCAGACUGACUGCCAACCGAAAAUCCCAUCCCAUUCCCCGCUAGCAUUGUGGCAUAAAUUGCUUAUUUAUUGUUUAAAAUGGUUUCUGGUUGCUAAACGACAUUUUCAGCGCUGCUGGCCAUUGUUGGACUGCGCUGUCUAAAAACAGGUGCCGAAAUACACGUGUUCGAGUAUCUCUCCAUCCGUGUAUCGCACAUGUUAAGCAGAUUUCGAAUGUCUACCUUGCUGUGUGAGUGUAAGUGUGAGUGUGAAUGCGGCAUUGUUCUAGUCAUACUAUAAAAUUCGGAUUGGAAAUUCGACGUUUGCCGGUUGGCUUUUGGUGGCACAGGAAACAAUUCGAGGGAAAUGGCAAAAAUUGAUGCUUGAUGAAGCAGUAAAUUAAUUUGGACAUUUUUCGAUCCAUUCAACUUCACAACUGUAUGCAAAAAUGCUGCUAAGUGGGAUGUGCCAUAAAAUGUCCGGCAAAUGAAUGUAUGGACAUUAAUUUGCAUAUUUUACGGGCCCGGUUACUCAAUGUUUAUUUUGUGCUUUUUACUGCAGUCUUAAUAUGAUUUAAUUUUGCAUGUAUAAAUGUUUAAAUAUAUUUCUGUUUUUAUAUUGAUUAAUUGGUUAGGAAUUUGCGGAAAAAUUAUAUAAAUCUAUCCCUUAAUAAA